rnacentral:rRNA from 1 species
GACGAACGCUGGCGGCGUGCUUAACACAUGCAAGUCGAACGGAAAGGCCCUGCUUGCAGGGUACUCGAGUGGCGAACGGGUGAGUAACACGUGGGUGAUCUGCCCUGCACUUCGGGAUAAGAUUGGGAAACUGGGUCUAAUACCGGAUAGGAACCAUCUUUAGUGUGGUGGUUGGAAAGAUUUUUCGGUGUAGGAUGAGCUCGCGGCCUAUCAGCUUGUUGGUGGGGUAAUGGCCUACCAAGGCGGCGACGGGUAGCCGGCCUGAGAGGGUGUACGGCCACAUAGGGACAGAGAUACGGCCCAGACUCCUACGGGGGGCAGCAGUGGGGAAUAUUGCACAAUGGGCGCAAGCCUGAUGCAGCGACGCCGCGUGGGGGAUGAAGGCCUUCGGGUUGUAAACUCCUUUCGCUAGGGACGAAGCUUUGUUGUGACGGUACCUAGAUAAGAAGCACCGGCUAACUACGUG